UACGUAGGGUGCGAGCGUUGUCCGGAAUUACUGGGCGUAAAGAGCUCGUAGGUGGUUUGUCGCGUUGUCCGUGAAAACUCACAGCUCAACUGUGGGCGUGCGGGCGAUACGGGCAGACUGGAGUACUGCAGGGGAGACUUGAAUUCCUGGUGUAGCGGUGGAAUGCGCAGAUAUCAGGAGGAACACCGGUGGCGAAGGCGGGUCUCUGGGCAGUAACUGACGCUGAGGAGCGAAAGCGUGGGGAGCGAACAGG
rnacentral:rRNA from 1 species